GAUGAACGCUAGCUACAGGCUUAACACAUGCAAGUCGAGGGGCAGCAUUUCAGUUUGCUUGCAAACUGGAGAUGGCGACCGGCGCACGGGUGAGUAACACGUAUCCAACCUGCCGAUAACUCGGGGAUAGCCUUUCGAAAGAAAGAUUAAUACCCGAUGGUAUAAUCAGACCGCAUGGUCUUGUUAUUAAAGAAUUUCGGUUAUCGAUGGGGAUGCGUUCCAUUAGGCAGUUGGUGAGGUAACGGCUCACCAAACCUUCGAUGGAUAGGGGUUCUGAGAGGAAGGUCCCCCACAUUGGAACUGAGACACGGUCCAAACUCCUACGGGAGGCAGCAGUGAGGAAUAUUGGUCAAUGGGCGCAGGCCUGAACCAGCCAAGUAGCGUGAAGGAUGACUGCCCUAUGGGUUGUAAACUUCUUUUAUAUGGGAAUAAAGUUUUCCACGUGUGGAAUUUUGUAUGUACCAUAUGAAUAAGGAUCGGCUAACUCCGUGCCAGCAGCCGCGGUAAUACGGAGGAUCCGAGCGUUAUCCGGAUUUAUUGGGUUUAAAGGGAGCGUAGGUGGACAGUUAAGUCAGUUGUGAAAGUUUGCGGCUCAACCGUAAAAUUGCAGUUGAUACUGGCUGUCUUGAGUACAGUAGAGGUGGGCGGAAUUCGUGGUGUAGCGGUGAAAUGCUUAGAUAUCACGAAGAACUCCGAUUGCGAAGGCAGCUCACUGGACUGCAACUGACACUGAUGCUCGAAAGUGUGGGUAUCAAACAGGAUUAGAUACCCUGGUAGUCCACACAGUAAACGAUGAAUACUCGCUGUUUGCGAUAUACAGUAAGCGGCCAAGCGAAAGCAUUAAGUAUUCCACCUGGGGAGUACGCCGGCAACGGUGAAACUCAAAGGAAUUGACGGGGGCCCGCACAAGCGGAGGAACAUGUGGUUUAAUUCGAUGAUACGCGAGGAACCUUACCCGGGCUUAAAUUGCAUUUGAAUAUAUUGGAAACAGUAUAGCCGUAAGGCAAAUGUGAAGGUGCUGCAUGGUUGUCGUCAGCUCGUGCCGUGAGGUGUCGGCUUAAGUGCCAUAACGAGCGCAACCCUUAUCUUUAGUUACUAACAGGUCAUGCUGAGGACUCUAGAGAGACUGCCGUCGUAAGAUGUGAGGAAGGUGGGGAUGACGUCAAAUCAGCACGGCCCUUACGUCCGGGGCUACACACGUGUUACAAUGGGGGGUACAGAAGGCAGCUACCUGGUGACAGGAUGCUAAUCCCAAAAGCCUCUCUCAGUUUCGGAUCGAAGUUCUGCAACCCGACUUCGUGAAAGCUGGAUUUCGCGUAGUAAUCGCGCAUUCAGCCAUGGCGCGGUGAAUACGUUUCCUCGGGCCU
rnacentral:rRNA from 1 species